rnacentral:rRNA from 1 species
AUUGAACGCUGGCGGCAGGCCUAACACAUGCAAGUCGAACGGUAGCACAGAGAGCUUGCUCUCGGGUGACGAGUGGCGGACGGGUGAGUAAUGUCUGGGAAACUGCCUGAUGGAGGGGGAUAACUACUGGAAACGGUAGCUAAUACCGCAUAACGUCGCAAGACCAAAGAGGGGGACCUUCGGGCCUCUUGCCAUCAGAUGUGCCCAGAUGGGAUUAGCUAGUAGGUGGGGUAACGGCUCACCUAGGCGACGAUCCCUAGCUGGUCUGAGAGGAUGACCAGCCACACUGGAACUGAGACACGGUCCAGACUCCUACGGGAGGCAGCAGUGGGGAAUAUUGCACAAUGGGCGCAAGCCUGAUGCAGCCAUGCCGCGUGUAUGAAGAAGGCCUUCGGGUUGUAAAGUACUUUCAGCGGGGAGGAAGGCGAUAAGGUUAAUAACCUUGUCGAUUGACGUUACCCGCAGAAGAAGCACCGGCUAACUCCGUGCCAGCAGCCGCGGUAAUACGGAGGGUGCAAGCGUUAAUCGGAAUUACUGGGCGUAAAGCGCACGCAGGCGGUCUGUCAAGUCGGAUGUGAAAUCCCCGGGCUCAACCUGGGAACUGCAUUCGAAACUGGCAGGCUGGAGUCUUGUAGAGGGGGGUAGAAUUCCAGGUGUAGCGGUGAAAUGCGUAGAGAUCUGGAGGAAUGCCGGUGGCGAAGGCGGCCCCCUGGACAAAGACUGACGCUCAGGUGCGAAAGCGUGGGGAGCAAACGGGAUUAGAUACCCUGGUAGUCCACGCUGUAAACGAUGUCGACUUGGAGGUUGUUCCCUUGAGGAGUGGCUUCCGGAGCUAACGCGUUAAGUCGACCGCCUGGGGAGUACGGCCGCAAGGUUAAAACUCAAAUGAAUUGACGGGGGCCCGCACAAGCGGUGGAGCAUGUGGUUUAAUUCGAUGCAACGCGAAGAACCUUACCUACUCUUGACAUCCACGGAACUUAGCAGAGAUGCUUUGGUGCCUUCGGGAACCGUGAGACAGGUGCUGCAUGGCUGUCGUCAGCUCGUGUUGUGAAAUGUUGGGUUAAGUCCCGCAACGAGCGCAACCCUUAUCCUUUGUUGCCAGCGGUCCGGCCGGGAACUCAAAGGAGACUGCCAGUGAUAAACUGGAGGAAGGUGGGGAUGACGUCAAGUCAUCAUGGCCCUUACGAGUAGGGCUACACACGUGCUACAAUGGCAUAUACAAAGAGAAGCGACCUCGCGAGAGCAAGCGGACCUCAUAAAGUAUGUCGUAGUCCGGAUUGGAGUCUGCAACUCGACUCCAUGAAGUCGGAAUCGCUAGUAAUCGUGGAUCAGAAUGCCAUGGUGAAUACGUUCCCGGGCCU